rnacentral:piRNA from 1 species
UGGUCAAGCCUGUGCCUUUUCCCAAAGU